rnacentral:misc_RNA from 1 species
ACAUCUCAACUCUCAUGGCUUGCCGUGAUGAGCUUGGACUUUGGGGGUCUUGCUGGCCUGUGGUCAGCUCCUCUCAAAUGAAUUAGCCUGCCGGUGUUUGGUGGGAUCACAGGUGUGAUAACUAUCUACGCUUGUGGUUUUCCACCAAACACCGGCAAUGGAGGUUCACCGGAGCUUACAAAUGUCUCUCCCCAGCGAGGACAGAUUUUGACC